UCGACCUGAGGUCAGGCAAGAACACCCGCUGAACUUAAGCAUAUCAAUAAGCGGAGGAAAAGAAACUAAC
rnacentral:rRNA from 7 species